rnacentral:tRNA from 1 species
GUCAGAUGCGGUCAGAUCAUAGCAUCUUAAAGCAGAUAUUGACCGAUUCCUAAUCCGUAGGCCGUGCGUUCAAAUCGCGCCGGGGACACCA